rnacentral:lncRNA from 1 species
UAGGAAGCUAAACCCUUUGUUAUCUCUGGUUGCAGAAGAGAAUGCUGUGCAGGGAACGGAAAAUGGGAAGUUUCAGGCAGCUGUCUGAACAGAGAAAAUGCAUAAAAUCUCGUUUGGCCAGUUCCUUGAGAAAAAGUGUAACAUUGUGUGAGUACCUUGAAUUGGAUUUCAAUGAGUUAUUGAAUUAUAUGCCAUGCCUAAUGUAACCCACAUGGCCCCUGUGACCACUAGUCAUGAUUAAUUUGACUAGAAUAAGAAAUGCCUGGUGGAUUAUCUAUGCACACCUCAGGGUGUGUCUAAGUGGGCUGUGGAGAAGUGAUCUUGGGUCCUGUAUCUGGUCCCUGGUCUCUUCCUUUCUAGCGCUGUUCCCUUGCUUUGCUUCCUGGCUGUUGUGAACCAAGAAGCUUUUCUCUGAAUUCCAUCAUGAUGUUCUGCCUUGGAGCCAGCCAACCAUGGACUGAAUCCUAUGAAACACCAGCCACAGUAAACCUAAACUUCUCCUUGAAAUCUCCAGC